ensembl:lncRNA
CAUGGGUAUUCACAGACGCGGACUAAAGCUUUCUUGGCUGCUGCCUCAAAGCACACUGUGCGCUGUCUAUCUUGCGUGCUGCACAAUAUCGUUUAUUAUUUAGUAAAUAUUGAUAUCUAUGACUAGCUAGUUUAUUGUGAUGGUGCUUUGUUUUCUCUAUUAUUAUGUUGCUCUUUGUUGUUUGCUGUCUCCUCUGUUUGUUUUUUUUGUUUGUUUUUUUUUUUCUCCAUACAGGUGACCCAGGAGUUCUUUUUUUUUUUUCUCUCUCUUCCCCCCCCUUCUCACCGUCUCUUCUCCCCUUUGGUUUUCUUUCUUUCUCUCCCCCUCUUUCUCUCAUUCAUUCCCCCUGUCCUAUUUAUUUAAAAAAAAAAAAAAAAAAUGACAAAGGAUGAACUGAAGCUCUGCCAUCACGUAAUGUCGCAUACUGCUGUUUCUGAUGUCAUUUAGAAAAAAAAAGAAAAAAAAAAAAGAUAUGAUUUCAAAAUAGCGCUUUAUAAUUUGUUGACUUUUAAAAAUCUGUUUUAGACUUUUUUUUGAUGCCAUUAUAUACAUUAAUGUUUUUAGUUUGUAGGACUAACCAGUACCCUAAAUUAUGUGUUUGGAUUAUUAUUUAUUUGUGUGUGUAUGUUUGUUGUAUUUUGUUUGUUUGUUUGUUUGUUUGUUUUAAGGCCAGUGAUCCCGUCGAGCUCUGAUGAGGAUUGGGACAACACUGUGGAACAGCCAGAGACCUCACCACCAUCAGCAAUGGAGAAUAGACAUUCAAGUGAAACUCACUUCCUGAACAUCACUCAUCCAUUUGUUCAGCCGCUACAACCCUCAACUCCUUCACCUGUGGUUUCACAACCAGUUCCAAGACAACUUCUACAAGCCACCAAUACGAGCAUGUUUGUACGUGUUCUAACCCUCCUGGAAGACAUUAAGGACACUCAGAGGGUCCACAGUCGAAUGCUACAGUCUCUCCUUACACAACGUGAUGGACCAGUUGCUGCAGUAUUACCCGAGGGUGCUGUAUUUCCCAUCCGGACAGUAGCAGAUGUGGCAGCACUGGAGCAAAAACUGGCAGACCCUGUCUUCCUAAAAGAAGUGGUUGCUGUUGUGGCAGAGAUCAGAGGGAGCACUGUUGAUGAAGCCACAAGAAGAAUGAUGGCCUUCAUUAUGGACAAUGCUCUUUCCAGGCAAUAUAACUUCGUUGGGUGCCAUGGAAAGCGGGAAUUUCGAGGGCUUAAAGUUUUUGAAGUGCUAUAUGGACCAAUGGAUUGGUGAAUGAGUGAGAAGCUGUGGUUUGCUGCAUUUGUUUUUCCUUUAAACGGUAUAACAUUUAUUUGUUAUUGUUUUGUGUAUACUGUGGACAUUUUUGUCAACAUGUUCUCCAAACAAAAAAUGUAUUAUAUAAAAAAGCAUACUGUUUUAAAAUUUCAUAGUAAUCAGUAUUAAUAAAAAAGAUAAACUGGCUUUGUUGUACAGGUGAUUUAAAUUAUAGCUUACUUACAUUAUCCAAAAUUCCAUCUGGGCAAACACACUUGGGGCCACCAUGGAAACUGAGGACAAAAAUAGCUGG